GAGAAUGAGAACCAGAGUUCUCCCUGACCAGAAACGCGACCCGGAGACCCGCAAAGAGGAUCCGACCGGCGCUGCUCCGUCCGGCCACAUCACAGCGGCGGAUCACCGGCAUCCUCUUCGUAAUGACGUCGCCGUGACGUCUGUGGCCUCGGAUCGUACAUGCGCCGGCUGUGAAGUCCGUUCCGACGACUGGAAGCCCCGAGCUUUCUCCGGCCACCUCUGCAACUUCCGGCGACCGAUUAAGCUGCAUUUGCCACGGCUCGGCCGUGUUCUUCGACUCCGGCGACGUUUCCGGCACUUCUGGGCUUGGAUUCUGGUUGGAAUGCGUCUGUAGGUGAGGGCUGACCUUGGUUUGGGAGUAAAAUCUGGAAAUUUUUGGUUGGUGACCGAACUGAGAAGUUUGGGUUUGCUGUGUUCUUCGUCAGGUGCAAACUUGCAAUUUGGAGUUCUGAUCUUGAUCAAGUUUGAUCACAUGGUGAGUUGAAAUCUAUUUGAAAAUUCUGGGAUUUGCCUUGUAUAGUUAAGUUCUGGAAUGGGUUGCCAUGCUUGUAUACGUACUGUGAAUUCAAGUUGAUGCUUAAUGUAAAUUGUGUUACGAGAAUGAGGAAUUGGACUUGGUUUCAUUCUUGAAUAAUAGUUAUA